rnacentral:piRNA from 1 species
UGCCUGAUAUUACUUAAGCUUUGGUUUC